CCCACGGGAGGCAGCAGUGAGGAAUAUUGGUCAAUGGGCGAGAGCCUGAACCAGCCAAGUCGCGUGAAGGAUGACGGCCCUACGGGUUGUAAACUUCUUUUGUCAGGGAGCAAUUGAGUCCACGUGUGGUCUUAGCGAGAGUACCUGAAGAAAAAGCAUCGGCUAACUCCGUGCCAGCAGCCGCGGUAAUACGGAGGAUGCGAGCGUUAUCCGGAUUUUUUGGGUUUAAAGGGUGCGUAGGCGGAAUAUCAAGUCAGCGGUAAAAAUUCGGGGCUCACCCCCGUCGUGCCGUUGAAACUGACGUUUUCGAGGGGGAGAGAAGUAUGAGGAAUGCGUGGGGUAGCGGGGAAAUGCAUAGAGAGCGCGCAGAACUCCGAUGGCGAAGGCAGCAUGCCGGCGCCAAACUGACGCUGAGGCACGAAAGCGGGGGUAUCGAACAGGAUUAGAUACCCGGGUAGUA
rnacentral:rRNA from 1 species